rnacentral:rRNA from 1 species
GGCGUGCUUAACACAUGCAAGUCGAACGGGAACCUCUGGAUUCGUCUGGAGGGGAGAGUGGCGAACGGGUGAGUAACACGUAGGUGACCUGCCUCGAAGACGAGGAUAACCACUGGAAACGGUGGCUAAUACUCGAUGGUCUCGAUAAUUCGGUUUAUCGAGUAAAGGCUCUGGCGCUUUGAGAGGGACCUGCGGCCCAUCAGCUAGUUGGUAGGGUAACGGCCUACCAAGGCGAAGACGGGUAGGGGGCGUGAGAGCGUGACCCCCCACACUGGCACUGGGACACGGGCCAGACUCCUACGGGAGGCAGCAGUGAGGAAUAUUGCGCAAUGAGCGAAAGCUAGACGCAGCAACGCCGCGUGGGUGAUGAAGGCCUUCGGGUCGUAAAACCCUUUUCUGGGGGAAGAGUAAGGACGGUACCCCAGGAAUAAGCCUCGGCUAACUAUGUGCCAGCAGCCGCGGUAAUACAUAGGAGGCAAGCGUUAUCCGGAUUUACUGGGCGUAAAGAGCGUUGAGGCGGCUUCGUAAGUUGGACGUGAAAGCUCCCGGCUUAGCUGGGAGAGGCCGUUCAAUACUGCGGGGCUUGAGGGCAGCAGAGGGGGGUGGAAUUUCCGGUGUAGUGGUGAAAUGCGUAGAUAUCGGAAGGAACACCAGUGGCGAAGGCGGCCCCCUGGGCUGCUCCUGACGCUGAAGGCGAAAGCUAGGGGAGCGAACGGGAUUAGAAACCCCGGUAGUCCUAGCCGUAAACGAUGGAUACUAGGUGUAGGAGGUUAAAAUUCCUUCUGUGCCGGAGCUAGCGCGUUAAGUAUCCCGCCUGGGGAGUACGGUCGCAAGGCUAAAACUCAAAGGAAUUGACGGGGGCCCGCACAAGCAGCGGAGCGUGUGGUUUAAUUCGAUGCAACACGAAGAACCUUACCAGGGCUUGACAUGUAGGUAGUAGUGAAGCGAAAGCGGAACGAUCCUUCGGGAAGCCUACACAGGUGCUGCAUGGCUGUCGUCAGCUCGUGCCGUGAGGUGUUAGGUUAAGUCCUGUAACGAGCGCAACCCCUGCCGUUAGUUACAAGUGUCUAACGGGACUGCCCGGCAAAACUGGGAGGAAGGUGGGGAUGACGUCAAGUC